rnacentral:rRNA from 1 species
AAGGUUAGCUAAUCCUGGUCGGACAUCAGGAGGUUAGUGCAAUGGCAUAAGCUAGCUUGACUGCGAGCGUGACGGCGCGAGCAGGUGCGAAAGCAGGUCAUAGUGAUCCGGUGGUUCUGAAUGGAAGGGCCAUCGCUCAACGGAUAAAAGGUACUCCGGGGAUAACAGGCUGAUACCGCCCAAGAGUUCAUAUCGACGGCGGUGUUUGGCACCUCGAUGUCGGCUCAUCACAUCCUGGGGCUGAAGUAGGUCCCAAGGGUAUGGCUGUUCGCCAUUUAAAGUGGUACGCGAGCUGGGUUUAGAACGUCGUGAGACAGUUCGGUCCCUAUCUGCCGUGGGCGCUGGAGAAUUGAGGGGGGCUGCUCCUAGUA